UGUACGGACGAUAGUGUCAUGGUGUUUUGUCUGUUGUUAGCUUGGCCUUGAAACUAUUUACAUUUUGAAUUAACAUACGUAGAGUCUUAAAGCCGACACGAUGCAUAUGUAAUUAGCUGUAAUGGUAAACCCAUUGGAAUGUCAAAGGCGGAGUGAUUUUUUGACGACUAGAACAUUCGUGUGCACCCCUUAAUAUUCGACCUGGGUUACAGAAUCUCCAAGUAACCCAUACCAUCCCCUCCAUUUCUACUGACAGAUGAAUACUUGGUGAAAGAAGAGCACAUGUUAUUUGAUCACGAGGCAAAAAGGUGCCAUUAUCACGAGUUGGACACAGUUGUGCAAGGUUGCACGUCAGACACUUGUCAUUGUGGGUUCAGUUUCGUUGAAGAAACAAAGACCGACAUGGCGACUCGAGACGUAUUUGCGUUACUGUACUUGUGCGGUAUUGUCGGGUGCUGGGCCCAAGGUAUGGAGGCCAUCGUCGACAUCGUUUAUCCAGACAUCUCAUCUGGAAACGUCACCUUCUGCCGACUGCAGGACUCCAUCGUGGUCAGUGUGCAAACCGGAAAUGACCAUCUCACCCUCAACUUAGAAAGAAAUUCAGCAGUGAAGGAAAACACACCGGUGUAUGUUGUCAGACACGUUGGCAACAACACCGUCAUCGUACGGGAUACGGUUAUGAACAUGGAGGGGCGUCACGAGUACCUGGAUGUUGCUAACAUGGCUUCAAUUGAGGUGUCCUGCCAGACAACAUCAGAGGACAAACCAUGGUAUCAGCUUCGAGGCUUCUUAUCUCUUCCUGGAGGUAUUUUGUAUGAGAUGACGCCUUAUAACGGGGCUCUACGGGAGGCAGGGGGACCUGCCGACGAUGCUCUGUAUAUCCUCAAGCCAGUGAAGCCUCUUAUUGAUAAACAAGCCAUUGACAUCACGUUGCCUUAUGACGAGGAAGAUAAUGUUUCGGAGCAGGAGGCUGAACGGUGGACACAAGAAUCUAGAAGGAAACGUUCGACUGACCAAAUACACAUUGAUGUUGUUGCUGUCGUUGACCACUCCGUAUAUCGAAGAUGGUUUGCAAGGACUUCCCAGGUGUCCGAAGUCCUCAAGCAUGCUGAAACAAAGGAGAACAUACGACGCCAUUUUGCUCAUCUUGUGAAUGGGAUUAACUUAAGGUUUAAGACUGCCUCGACAUUGUACAACAUACACCUGGUUGGGUAUGUCAUUGAGGAUCAAGGAAGAGGAGUCUGGUUCCAGUCAGUCUUGAACGAGGAGGAUUACCCAAACAACACACAGAUAGAUGCUUCCAAUCUGCUUCCAAGUGCUAGAGAUUGGAAAAAUAGCAUCACAGGGUUCCCAGAGAACGACCACGUCAUUGUUUUCACAGCGUAUGAUUUGUACAGGAUGGAUGCUAACGUAACUAAAAACCUGCUGGGUUUUGCAUACGUUGGAACUAUCUGUGACAAGCCAGGCCACAGCAUAUCACUAGUGGAGUAUACCGACAUUCUGGUGGAUGAUCUUCUGGUGACAGCUCACGAAAUGGGACAUGCACUAAGUGCACGGCAUGACGGGGAAUACAACAACACGUGUUCUGGGACUGACGCCUACAUCAUGAGCAGCAGCUACUCAGCACAUCAUAGCGUCAGCAUAACGAAUUACUUCCUGUUUUCUAACUGCUCCAUCCGCUAUUUCCAGACCUUCCUGGACCAAGUGUUAGCAGCAGGUGAUACCACUUCCAGGAGCUGCCUCCUGGAAUCUCUAGAACCGGCGUCUGUGACGAACGUCACCGGUGAAUGGCCUGGUCAGCUAUACAACGUAAACGAGCAGUGUCAGAUGAAAUAUGGCCCCACUUCCUAUAUGUGCUUGGGUGUGAACUCUAGCGUCAGUGUUUGUAAGAGGCUCUACUGUUACCUUCCUGAUCGGCCGGGAUUCUGCAGGAGCAUCAACGCCGUGGACGGUACAACGUGUGGCAACAGACAGUGGUGUGUUUCUGGAGAGUGUGUGUCCUCAGUUGAUGCCCCUGAACAAGACCUGGCCUGCCCAUUUGGGGAUCAACACUCACAUCAAAACAUGAGCUGUCCUGAGCUUGUCAGUCCUGCUACUAAGCAUCUCUGCUAUAGAGAGUUUUACUCUGUGUUAAUCUGCUGUGACACGUGUCGGCGUCAUAAAGGAAAUGAUUUAGAGAACUGUCCAUACGGAGACCGCAUUGAAACCUGUGCCAUGGAUAUUCCACCACAGAGGAAGAACUUAUGCUACAACGAGAAUAAUUACAACCUCUGUUGUGAGACAUGUGCCUCCUACAAGGGCGACGAAGGCUGUGAGUAUGGAGAUGACGAACGGAAUAGGCUGUGUUCCCUGGAAAGAUGUGACCCGUCUGAUAUCACCUACAUCAACACUUGCUGUGCUACCUGUAGCACAUUAACACCCACAACCUCUACACUCACAUCCACGCCCACAUCCACAACCACAACCUCAACUCCUACGUCCACAUCCACAACUUCAACACCUACACCUACGUCCACAUCCACAACCUCAACACCUGCACACGUCCACGUCAACAUCCACAACCUCAACACCUACACCAACGUCUACAUCCACAACCUCAACACCUACACCUACGUCCACAUCCACAACCUCAACACCUACACCAACGUCUACAUCCACAACCUCAACACCUACACCAACGUCUACAUCCACAACCUCAACACCUACACCUACGUCCACAUCCACAACCUCAACACCUACACCCACGUCAACAUCCACAACCUCAACACCUGCAUCCACGUCAACAUCCACGACCACAACCUCAACACCUACACCAACGCCUACAGCGACAACUUCAACACCUACACCAACGUCUACAUCGACAACCUCAACACCUACGUCCACAACUUCAACCUCGACAUCUACACCUACGUCCACAACCACAACCUCAACACGUACAACUACGUCCCCGUCUACAACAUCAUCAUCAGUACCAACAUCAACUGCAUACACAACAUCGCCUUCAACAACUACUCCCGUUACAGAAACACCGACCUCCAGCAGUGGACUGGCGACUCAUGGUAAGAUGGCAGAAGUUGGUAGAUUGGCUGUCCUUCUUUCUCUCCUUGCCAUCAGCCUCUGGUGUUCGUGAGGUUCCUGCAGCAAAGGUGGACAAACAGCUGGAUGUUGCCGUCAUCAAUUUCUCAAAUCCUUGCACUGAUCGGACAUACGUGCAAGACAUUUAUGACGCGGGCUAUCAUCACUGCAGUUUAAAACCAAAUUCAUGGUUGUUGUGGUGUUGCCGACGUUACCUUACAGACGUCACGAACGUGGUCGGUCCUGGAACCGGAACUUGUUGGUACCAACCAGAGUGACUGUAUAUGGUGUUACGACGCAUGCGCAAGAAUUGCACUCGUGUUUGAGAUAUGUCGUCAAAAUCUUGAAUAUGUGACUUGUUGUCGGCCUGUCGUGGAUGCUGACGCCUGUUCCUGUGUGAUUACGUCAGCAAGGGGGUUCUGGGAUUAGCAACGUUUAUCAUUUCUCAGUACCAUGGGCGUUGCGUGACUUAAACCUUCUAGCUAGUAACUAGGACAUGCUGGGGUUCUCGCACAGUGCGGUGGUCGGUACCCACGGCAGGGAGAUAAAUUGAGCUGUGAUAUGUGCAUAUGUUUUUUAUGCCAAAUAUUUCACAAUUAUGUAUUUGAUGUAUCAUAAGCCAUAUGGACGGACAUUGUUCAGUAUAUGUACCUUUAUUUAAUUUGGUUGUAAACACAAUGUAUGACACCUUAAUAAACUAUUUCUCUUCUU
rnacentral:misc_RNA from 1 species